GACGAACGCUGGCGGCGUGCUUAACACAUGCAAGUCGAACGGAAAGGCCCUGCUUUUGUGGGGUGCUCGAGUGGCGAACGGGUGAGUAACACGUGAGUAACCUGCCCUUGACUUUGGGAUGACUUCAGGAAACUGGGGCUAAUACCGGAUAGGAGCUCCUGCUGCAUGGUGGGGGUUGGAAAGUUUCGGCGGUUGGGGAUGGACUCGCGGCUUAUCAGCUUGUUGGUGGGGUAGUGGCUUACCAAGGCUUUGACGGGUAGCCGGCCUGGGAGGGUGACCGGCCACAUUGGGACUGAGAUACGGCCCAGACUCCUACGGGAGGCAGCAGUGGGGAAUAUUGCACGAUGGGCGGAGGCCUGAUGCAGCAACGCCGCGUGCGGGAUGACGGCCUUCGGGUUGUAAACCGCUUUCGCCUGUGACGAAGCGUGAGUGACGGUAAUGGGUAAAGAAGCACCGGCUAACUACGUG
rnacentral:rRNA from 1 species